rnacentral:rRNA from 1 species
UACGGGAGGCAGCAGUAGGGAAUUUUCGUCAAUGGGGGGAACCCUGAACGAGCAAUGCCGCGUGAGUGAGGAAGGUCUUCGGAUCGUAAAGCUCUGUUGUAAGAGAAAAACGGCACUCAUAGGGAAUGAUGAGUGAGUGAUGGUAUCUUACCAGAAAGUCACGGCUAACUACGUGCCAGCAGCCGCGGUAAUACGUAGGUGGCGAGCGUUAUCCGGAAUGAUUGGGCGUAAAGGGUGCGUAGGUGGCAGAUCAAGUCUGGAGUAAAAGGUAUGGGCUCAACCCGUACUGGCUCUGGAAACUGAUCAGCUAGAGAACAGAAGAGGACGGCGGAACUCCAUGUGUAGCGGUAAA